rnacentral:lncRNA from 1 species
CAUAGUUCACUGCAGCCUUGAACUCGGGCUCAAGCAAUUCUCCUGCCUCCCAAAGUGCUGGGAUUGCAGGUGUGAGCCACCGGCCCAUUUCACCUUCUCAUUUUCUAUUCUAAAGUGACAUUUAGUGGCAUAAAACGUCAGCAAGAUGGAAGGGCUUUAUCAUUUCUAUUAUUGUUUACCAGAAUUUAAAAGUAUCAAAAUGAAUUUCACUGAACAAAAUUAGAAUAUUUUAUCAUAUAAACUUGGUAUCAUGUCUUUCAAAGUCUCCUUGGGAAUUUUUUGAAUACAAGUGUUAAAGUCAACACCGGUCUGUCCAGCUUAUGACUCGUUCCCCUCUUGCCUGAGAACUGCUCCUAAACCAUAGCAGUGGGCCCUGGCAGUCAUGUGUGUUCUGUGACUGCUCUUUGGCUGUACUGUACAUACUUGGACCAGGCAUGGUCAUAGCUUGGCUUUGCAUUCCCUGAGAAGACUGUACUGUGCAGAGGAUUCUCUUUCCCAUUAAAGAUUAUCUGUGUCCUGAUCUAGAUACAAUGUUGUUUUUGAUGAUUUUGCAAAUGAGUAGGAUGGCAAAUACUUCAAUUCUUACCUGCCUAGUAUAUACUCUGUGGUGCCACCCUAUGAGACUUGGGUCAGUUGUUGGUUUUGAGUCCUCUUGGCUCCCCAUGGUAUUUCCAGAUUACUGUUUCUCUGUUAUUUUUUAAAAACUACCUUUGAAACUGAUACCUGCUGACUGGCUAAAGCCAUCUUCCUUUUUUCAUUACUCUUUUUGCUCACAUCUUGUUUGUUAACAACUGCCUCAUCUUCCUCUUCACGCUGGUCAUCCUAGGAAUUUCCCAGGAAACUAGUGUCCCAGCGUAGAAUCUGAGAGCUUUGGCUACUUAGUUCUGCAUCUUUGUCAUCAGUUCCAUCUCUUCCACUUCACCUGUCCUUGUCCUACAGUAUUAUUCUGGGCCCAGUUACUACUGCUCCUCCAUGACCAUGAACUCAAACACCAGCUCAGUGACUAAAAUCUAUGAUCCUCCUAGUUUGCUGCACAUGUUUUUCAUCCUCAGGGCUUAAAGUUCAGUGACCCCUCCAAGUUCUCCUACCACAACUAUCCUUUCUCAGCUCAGAUUAGAUGACUGCAAUUUCAUUCAUACCCAGGCAGAUUGGUGCUACUCUAAAUUCACAGCUCCAUCUCUCUGAAACCAUGGUAUUGUGGUUGGACUGUGUCCCCAUAAAGAUAUCUUAAGGCCGUAAACACCAGGUACUUGUGAAUGUGGGUUUAUUUGGAAAUAGAGUGUUUGCAAAUAUAAUCAAGAUAAGAGCACAUUUAUGCAAUGAUGCAAAGAAUCAGAUACAUGGGCUGAAGUCGAAGACUCAAGAAAGGAGAUAAUUGGUCAUGUGAGACUGAAAAGGUGGAAGAGGAUGAGAUCAAGACAAUACCUGAACAGAUUCUCUUUUAAUAAGAGUAAGAACUACCCUAGGACUACAUUCAUUGUAAUAAUACACUGAACAUAUGAUUGCCAAUGUUUAAGCAUUUUUUUUACUUUUGCUUACUUACAAAUUCUAUAGGCUCAACUAAUAACAAAAUAUACUAACUGGCCUUUAUUUAGCACUAUAUACUCAAUAAAUUCCUUUAGCUAUCAUAUUUAAUUCUCACAACAUCCCUUAAGGCUGCAGCAUCAACUGUUGCCUAAGUUUCCAGUCUGCCCUUGCCCUACAGAUUUCAGAUUUGCAAACUUCCACAAUUGCAUGAGCCCAUAUAUAUAUAUAUGGUAUUAUAUAUACACAUAUAUACAUACACACACACAUAUACACAUAUAUACAUAUACAUACACACACAUAUACAUAUAUAUAUAUAUAUAUAUAUAUAUAUAUAUAUAUAUAUAUAUAUAUAUAUAUAUAUUCUGUCCAUUCUGUUUCUCUGGAGAACUGUGAUAAAUACAUCAGAUCUGAGGUGGGGUGUGAAGAGGACUAUGGGUCACUGAGAAAUUAGAUAUUUUACCCAAAAUUACACAGUUGGCAAUUGAUGAGUUCAGAUUUAAAACAAAACGUUUUGACUACAGAACCUGCACCCUUAAUCACUACUAUUUUUGCUACCAUGCUGUCCUUGUUCGAGGAGGGAUAAGAGAGGAUGAGUAUAGGUUUUAAGUUUGGUGUCCAGAAGUUGAGGAAGUUACCGUCUGAUGGCUUCUACUUCCUCAAAAGCAAGGUUAUCGACUGAGCAUGAAUGGAGGGCCAAAGGGAGGUUGGAACUGUCCAGUGGAAAGACUUCGAUAUCACAUGCGUUCCUUUUCUAGGGUGGCCAUAACAAACUACCACAGACAGAACGGCUUAAAACAAGAAAUUUAUUCUUACAUUUCAGGAGGGCAGAAGUCUGACAUCAAGGUGACAGCAGGGUUAGUUCUUUUGGGGGCUGAAAGAGAAUCUGUUCCAUGCCUCUCUCCUAGCUUCUGAUGGUUACUGGCAAGAGUGUUCUUUGGCUUGCAGCUGUAUCAUUUCAAUCUCUGCCGCUGUCUUCACAUGUCUUUCUUCUCUGUGUGUAUCCUUGUCUCCAAAUUUCCCUCUCCUUAUGAAGACACCACUUAUUGGUUAAUCCAGGAUAUGUGCCCAGAUAACAAGGGUUUGGUUAUUCUGAAAGGAGAAAAUAGAUUUUGUGGGACAAUAGCAGUCUCUGUCACAAGUACCAUCUCUCUUAUUGUUAUUUUCUAUUUUAUUUGUUGGCAGGAUUUAGGAGGAUGUAAUGUGGCUUGCUCUUAGCUUCCGGCAUUGUAAUUGAAUAUAUCAUACUCUGCUUCUUGAACUAAUAGUUACACAAAAAUUCCACAUAAUUAAAACCAAAUAAUAGAACAGUGGGGAAAAACAUGCUAAUUUGUUUCCAAAAAAUUUUUGAGAGCAAUAUUGUCAUAUUUAGAAAAAUAAUUUAGUUGCAUUUCUAUACCGUAAGAGAAAAGGCCUCCUCUGUCUUGCUCAUAAUUUUGUUUCUAGUACUUAGCACAGUGCCUAGCACAGAUGAUUUAUGUAAUGAAUAUGUUAUACUUAUUAAAGGAGCUUGAUCUCGUCUAAGACUUUUUAUUUUUUAAUUUAAGGCAGUGCAUACUAGAGACAAGUGUAUAAACCAUGGAGUAAGAACUCAGCUUAGAUCCCAGAGCCAUUGUUUUCUAUUAGAGUGGCCUUGUGUAUGUUACUUAACCUCUUUGAGCUUUAGUUUUCUCAUCUGUAAAAGAAGGAUAUUGUGGACAUCUUUCCAGGUCAGUACAUGUAGAUAUGUACCUCAUUAUUUUUAAUGACUGUACAAUUCAAUUUUAUGAAUAUUAAUUACAGAAUUAAGCUCUUUUCCUAUGGCUGGACAUUUACAUGAUGAUGAUUAGGAGGAUUGAUACUUUACAGUAGAGCUAGUGUAAAAUGAACAUUGAAAUAGCAAAGCUAUGUUUAUAAAAUUAUAUAUAUACAUAUCUACAGCCUUGGAAAUAUGAAC